rnacentral:rRNA from 1 species
UGGGGGAUAUUGCACAAUGGGCGAAAGCCUGAUGCAGCGACGCCGCGUGGGGGGUGAAGGCCUUCGGGUUGUAAACUUCUUUUGCUCUGAACAAGGCAUGCCUUUGGGGUGUGUUGAGUGUAGGGGUUGAUUAGCGCCGGCUAACUACGUGCCAGCAGCCGCGGUAAUACGUAGGGCGCGAGCGUUGUCCGGAAUUAUUGGGCGUAAAGGGCUUGUAGGUGGCUGGUUGCGUCUGUCGUGAAAGCUCAUGGCUUAACUGUGGGUUUGCGGUGGGUACGGGCUGGCUUGAGUGCAGUAGGGGAGGCUGGAAUUCCUGGUGUAGCGGUGGAAUGCGCAGAUAUCAGGAGGAAUACCGGUGGCGAAGGCGGGUCUCUGGGCUGUUACUGACGCUGAGGAGCGAAAGCGUGGGGAGCGAACAGG